AGUGGCGGACGGGUGAGUAACACGUGGGAACGUACCUUUAGGUUCGGAAUAACGCAGAGAAAUUUGCGCUAAUACCGAAUGUGCCCUUCGGGGGAAAGAUUUAUCGCCUUUAGAGCGGCCCGCGUUAGAUUAGCUAGUUGGUGGGGUAAAGGCCCACCAAGGCUACGAUCUAUAGCUGGUCUGAGAGGAUGAUCAGCCACAUUGGGACUGAGACACGGCCCAAACUCCUACGGGAGGCAGCAGUGGGGAAUCUUGCGCAAUGGUCGAAAGACUGACGCAGCCAUGCCGCGUGAAUGAUGAAGGUCUUAGGAUUGUAAAAUUCUUUCAGCAGGGACGAUAAUGACGGUACCUGCAGAAGAAGCCCCGGCUAACUUCGUGCCAGCAGCCGCGGUAAUACGAAGGGGGCUAGCGUUGCUCGGAAUUACUGGGCGUAAAGGGAGCGUAGGCGGGUUAUCAAGUUGGAGGUGAAAGCCCAGGGCUCAACCUUGGAAUUGCCUUCAAAACUGAUAGCCUAGAGUAUGAUAGAGGUAAGUGGAACUCCGAGUGUAGAGGUGAAAUUCGUAGAUAUUCGGAAGAACACCAGUGGCGAAGGCGACUUACUGGAUCAUGACUGACGCUGAGGCUCGAAAGCGUGGGGGAGCAAACAGGAUUAGAUACCCUGGUAGUCCACGCUGU
rnacentral:rRNA from 1 species